rnacentral:lncRNA from 1 species
GUCGCAUUAAUUCAGCAUUGCUACCUGAUGUUAUACUGGUAAAUCUAUUUUCGGUGGAUUUGUAUUUAUCAUAUGGAUUGUUUGAAAGUAUUACGUCAAAACUUUAUCAGAUGGUUCUUAAUUUAAGUUUUUGCUUUUUAAAGUUUGAUUGCUGAAUAGCAACAUCAUCCAAUCUAUUGUGUAACGUUUCCUCAAUGCUUUGGGAAUAAAGUUUGCGAACCACUCAUUGAACAAUCCUUCCAACAUAGUUAGAAAUGUCCAUGUCUGCAUGAC